AUUGAACGCUGGCGGCAGGCCUAACACAUGCAAGUCGAGCGGAGCGGCGGACGGGUGAGUAAUGCCUGGGAGUCUGCCUGGUAGUGGGGGAUAAAGUCCGGCACCGGGCGCUAAUACCGCAUACUAUCAGACGAGCCUAGGUCGGAUGAGCUAGUUGGUGGGUUAAAGGACUACCAAGGCGACGAUCCGUAACUGGUCUGAGAGGAUGAUCAGUCACACUGGAACUGAGACACGGUCCAGACUCCUACGGGAGGCAGCAGUGGGGAAUAUUGGACAAUGGGCGAAAGCCUGAUCCAGCCAUGCCGCGUGUGUGAAGAAGGUCUUCGGAUUGUAAAGCACUUUAAGUUGGGAGGCGUUACCAACAGAAUAAGCACCGGCUAACUUCGUGCCAGCAGCCGCGGUAAUUC
rnacentral:rRNA from 1 species